GACCCGAAGGAAAACAGGAAGUAAGCUAACCCACAUCUUCUCUAGUUAUUUGCCUCAAGGUUUCUAUGGCAACUUCUGAUUUCUCGGAUAGAAAGACCAUAGAGGAGAGACGAAAUAGAGGGCCUCCAUUUAUCUUAUUACUGCCUCUUAUCUAUGCCCCUAUUCUUCCACUUAUUAGAAUUGGCCUGAGGCGUAGGCCGGUGUUAAGGGAUAGACUGUUCUUUGGGGUGCUCGCCGGUGCCUUUGCUCACGGCACAUA